GCCAGCAUAGCUCAGUUGGCUAGAGCAGCUGAUUUGUAAUCAGCAGGUCGUGGGUUCGAGUCCCUCUGCCGGCU
rnacentral:tRNA from 4 species